CUUCGCGUGGUGUAGUGGUAACACGUCUGUAUAAUGAGUAGAAGUUGUGAGUUCGAGUCUCACCGAGAGGA
rnacentral:tRNA from 1 species